AGAACGAACGCUGGCGGCAGGCCUCAAACAUGCAAGUCUAGGGGGUGUAGCAAUACAUCACCGGCGGACGGGUGCGUAACGCGUGGGAAUGUACCUAUUGGUUCGGAACAACUGAGGGAAACUUCAGCUAAUACCGGAUGAGCCCGAAAGGGGAAAGAUUUCUCGCCAAUAGAUCAGCCCGCGUCCGAUUAGCUAGUUGGUGGGGUAAAAGCCUACCAAGGCGACGAUCGGUAGCUGUUCUGAGAGGAAGAUCAGCCACACUGGGACUGAGACACGGCCCAGACUCCUACGGGAGGCAGCAGUGGGGAAUAUGGACAAUGGGCGCAAGCCUGAUCCAGCCAUGCCGCGUGGAUGAUGAAGGCCUUAGGGUUGUAAAGUCCUUUUAACGGGGAAGAUAAUGACGGUACCCGUAGAAUAAGCCCCGGCUAACUUCGUGCCAGCAGCCGC
rnacentral:rRNA from 1 species